GAGUUUGAUCUUGGCUCAGGAUGAACGCUGGCGGCGUGCCUAAUACAUGCAAGUAGAACGCUGAAGCUUGGUGCUUGCACCGAGCGGAUGAGUUGCGAACGGGUGAGUAACGCGUAGGUAACCUGCCUGGGUAGCGGGGAUAACUAUUGGAACGAUAGCUAAUACCGCAUAACAGUAGAUAUUGCAUGAUAUCUGCUUGAAAGGUGCAAUUGCAUCACUACCAGAUGGACCUGCGUUGUAUUAGCUAGUUGGUGAGGUAACGGCUCACCAAGGCGACGAUACAUAGCCGACCUGAGAGGGUGAUCGGCC
rnacentral:rRNA from 1 species